rnacentral:tRNA from 2 species
GCCCGAGUGGUGGAAUAGGUAGACACAAGGGACUUAAAAUCCCUCGCCUGUAGAGGCGUACCGGUUCGAUUCCGGUCUCGGGCA